GCCGGACGCGGUGGCGCGCGCCUGUAGUCCCAGCUACUCGGGAGGCUGAGGCAGGAGGAUCGCUUGAGCCCAGGGGUUCUGGGCUUUAGAGUGCUAUGCCGAUCGGGUGUCCGCACUAAGUUGGGCAUCAAUAUGGUGACCUCCCGGGAGCGGGGGACCACCAGGUUGCCUAAGGAGGGGUGAACCGGCCCAGGUCAGAAAUGCAUGAUGUUAUUUUAAUUUGCAUUAUUUAUUUACUAAAAUUGUGAAUAUUUUCUUGGUCUACUCUGUAUUUUUUCCUGU
rnacentral:SRP_RNA from 1 species